CUUGCAGGUGGCAGCACGAAAGUGCCGACCUCUGAAAUCAGCCCCCUGAGACGGAGAAAAGCAUUGCGUUUAAAUCAACCUGUUCGUCCUUCACUGUGUUUCUCAAGAAGAGGAUCAGAGAUAAAGAGAAAUAUGAAAAUUUGAGGUAUCCCCUGAAUGCCUUCUACACAUCCGCAGUAGCACCUAUUGAUGACAAAGACAGCACCUGCCCACAGGAAACAUAGACCAUUCAACUGAUAACAGUCCUGGAGGCUGGAAGCCUACGAUCAAGGUGCUGGCAGACAUUGUUCCUGGUGAGCGCUCUCUUUCUGGCUUCUUCUGCUGUCUCUUCGCAGCUGUGGCCCCUUGGAGGAGGGAGCUGGGCCUUUCCACGCCUGGUUCUGUUCAUCACACAAGGAGAUUACCGAGUGAUGCUCCUGAAGCUUUCAUCCAGGGAAUCUGAGGUUUGAAAGUGUGGGAACCCCCUCCAGGAAAGAAGUAUUUAUUGUGGCCAAAAUUUUAUGUGGAUG
rnacentral:lncRNA from 1 species